UCUCCUGUAGCUCAGUCAGGUAGAGUGUUCGACCAAUGUGCGGAAGGUCAUAGGUUCAACUCCUGUUGCGAAAA